UACGUAGGUGGCGAGCGUUGUCCGGAUUUAUUGGGUUUAAAGGGCGCGUAGGCGGUCCUAUAAGUCAGUGGUGAAAUAUCGCAGCUUAACUGUGAGGGUGCCAUUGAUACUGUAGGGCUUGAGUGAAGUUGAGGUAGGCGGAAUUGACGGUGUAGCGGUGAAAUGCUCAGAUAUCGUCAAGAACACCGAUAGUGAAGACAGCUUACCGAGCUUCAACUGACGCUGAGGCACGAAAGUGUGGGGAGCAAACAGG
rnacentral:rRNA from 1 species